GGGUGUCAAUCACAAGCUUAUCAGACCCAUGAAACGUAUGGAAUUCAAACUGUACCCAAAGCCAAUUCAAAUGCUGGCCACUUUUCAAAGACAUUACGAAAAUUCUAUUCUUUGUGAAGGAAAAGAAAAUGACUAUUAGACAAUCAAAAUAAACAGGUAGAGAGCCAGCCUUUAUCACAGAAACUGGAACAAACACUUGCUCUGUUGGCUUCUAUUACUUCAUUAGCUCUGAAAGAAGGCAAAGUCCAGGGUGGUUUAUACCUUGCCAGCACGAACUCUCCAGUCGCCUUGUACCCAUCUCUCUCCAAGCUCUUCUUCAGCUUCUCCACUUUCUCUUUCAUCACCUGGUCUGCAGCCACAUCAGCAAAAUUCACGACCCCAUACUUCCUCUCCCCCUCUUCCCUUAUCACCACCCUUUCAUCUGUUGGCUUCGGUGCCUCC
rnacentral:misc_RNA from 1 species